rnacentral:misc_RNA from 1 species
GUGAGGUCUCUUCACUUUGCAAUGAAUUGCCAAAAUUUUAAUGUACAAAUACAGUUACAGAUAUUUUACACAAAGCAAUGAGAAUUCAAAAGUCGAGCACAAAUCGCUUGGGUGAUUCCUAUAACAAUUUAUUACAGUGGUGCCUAGUGAUUCUGAAAACUUGCAUGGAAAUACUGGACACUGAAUAAUUUUUCUCAUCUGGAGGACAUUUCAUCCUCUCUAUUAUUUCAACAGCCUAUGGCGAUGAACAGUCUCUAGCUAACUGGUAAUCCUGCAAUGCUGGCAUUGGUAUUCUGUCCCUUGAUGAAACUCUUUUGAAAAUUAGAUUUAUUAGUUCUUUUGCAUAAAUUAGAAGGAAUUAGACAAAGUCGGGCUGGCCUGUUGAAGUCAAGCAACGAUGCCACAUGCGGCUG